rnacentral:lncRNA from 1 species
AUGCAAUGGCCCGAUCCCGGUCCACCGCAACCUCACCUCCUGGGUUCAAGCGAUUCUUGUGCCUCAGCUUCCCAAGUCGCUGAGAUUACAAGUGUGCAUCACCACACUCGACUAAUUUUUGUAUUUAUUUUUUGUAGAGGGGUUUCACCAUGUUGGCAAGGCUGGUCUCGAACUCCUAACCUCAAGCAAUGCGCCAGGCUUGGCCUCCCAAAGUGCUGGGAUUACAGGCACCAGUCUCCGCGUUCUGCAGCACAGCUGAGAUUUGCAUCUGAGUCUCCAGGUGGCUUCUCAGGGUUGACAGAACUGAGCACCGGAAAGGAGCACUUUACAUGGCAGCAGAAGGAGGUCAGCGCUCCCCCCACUUCUCCAGCGCCGCGUGCGGAGAGACAAAGAAAUUGAUUUUCCAAUCGAUGCUCUGAGCAAUGAUUAAAUGUUCUCUGCACAGCGGGCCUAAUGAGUCCCCAAGGGGCGUGCCGGCCCUUUAAUUAGAGACUCCCACGGGGGCCUGGGAUGGGGGCUGCCCUGGAGUGAGGGGGUCCAGUCAGGGAGGAGGCCCCAUCCCCAGGGAUCGGUGGCCUGGGCCUCUGAGAGAUAUUGUCUGGGGGCCCCUCGGUAUAGAGACACAGUGGAGGGUUCCCUGGGCAGGGGGACCCCAUAGAGUAGCUCCUGGGCUGAGAGGUCCCGUGGAGGAGCCCCUGAUCUGAGCCCUCGAGGAAGAACCUGGGCUACAGGAAUGGAGGCUGGAGGCCCCCAAGUGAAUGCACAGAUUCACCCACGUGAGCAUGAGCCAGGUCUGCACCCCCUCGCCCCAACCAGAGGACAAACUCAGGCCAAGGCCUCCCUGUCCUCUGCCCACCAGCAUCCAGGCAGCCAGCAGUCCUCUCUGUCAGUUCAGCUCCCCCAUUGGCGGCGGCGGCGGAGACCCAGACAGGAAAUGAAUCCCCUGUAAGCGGCUGCUGCGUUCUCCUCACCCAGCUGCCCCAUUGGAGAAGCCUACUGAAGACUUUAGAAAUUCAAAUGAGGCUCUCGGGGGAGAGCGGGUCUUAAACAUUCCCCUGCGAAGGCGGCUUUAUUGAAGGAAUAAACUAUAUUUGCAAAGUAAGAUAUUGAGGCUGUCAGUUUCUCUUAGGGAUAUAAUGAGAUCCUGGGAGGGAGGGAGGCCGGCAGGAUGGAGCUCCCAAGGGCGGGAGCCCCAGCGAGGAGCUGGAGUGAGAUGCCCCGCUGGGCCAGGCGGAGCCCCGCCCCACUGCUACUAGCGCCACUAGGAGCCUAACAUCCCCCUCAAUCCACCAUCCCACCUCCCCUGGUCAGAGCUGCUAAGGGAUGGAGGCCCGUGUGGAGGCAGGAAGAUAGAAUGGCUCUGCCAAGCCCUGGAAACCCCAAGACAGUGGAGCCCCUGCAAGUCUCCCGCCCAACUUACCCACCAGCUCUGCCCCAUGGAGGGAGCUCUGCUCAGGAGACAGGAAGAGAGAGCAGGGAUGGAGCUGAGACUCUGAUGUUGGGCUGUGGCUGAGUCUGGGCUCUCCUAAUUUUUUAUUUUUAUUUAUUUAUUUUUUUUAUUUUUUGAGAAGCAGUCUUGCUCUGUCACCAGGCUGGAGUGCAGUGGCGCGAUCUUGGCUCACUGCAAUCUCUGCCUCCCAGAUUCAAGCGAUUCUCCUGCCUUAGCCUCCUGAGUAAUGGGGAUUAUAGGCGUGUGCCACCACACCCAGCUAACUUUUGUAUUUUUAGUAGAGAUGGGGUUUCACCAUGUUGGCCAGGACAGUCUCGAUCUCCUGACCUCGUGAUCCACCUGCCCCAGCCUUCCAAAGUGCUGGGAUUAUAGGCUGAGCCACUGUGCCCAGCCAAUUUUUAAUUUUUUAAAAAUAGAGAUGUGUUCUUGCUAUGUUGCCCAGGAUGGUCUCAAACUCCAGGGCUCAAGCAAUCUUCCCACCUCAGCCUCCCAAAGUGCUGGGAUUACAGGUGUGAGCCACGGUGCCUGGCCAAGGUUCUGCUAUUUUGUGAGCUGUAUGACCUUGGGCACAUUAUUUAACCUCUCUGUGGCUCUGCUAUCUCAUCUCUAAAAUAUUAGUACCUAUCUCAUGAUUGUUGG